CGGCGGACGGGUGAGUAACGCGUGGGUAACCUGCCUCAUACAGGGGGAUAACAGUUGGAAACGGCUGCUAAUACCGCAUAAGCGCACAGUACCGCAUGGUACGGUGUGAAAAACUCCGGUGGUAUGAGAUGGACCCGCGUCUGAUUAGCUAGUUGGUGGGGUAACGGCCUACCAAGGCGACGAUCAGUAGCCGACCUGAGAGGGUGACCGGCCACAUUGGGACUGAGACACGGCCCAA
rnacentral:rRNA from 2 species